rnacentral:rRNA from 1 species
GAUGUACGCUGGCGGCGCGCCUAACACAUGCAAGUCGAACGAUUAAAGCACCUUCGGGUGUGUAUAAAGUGGCGAACGGCUGAGUAACACGUGGGCAACCUGCCCCUUUCAUUGGGAUAGCCACGGGAAACCGUGGAUAAUACCGAAUACUUCGAGACUUCCGCAUGGAAGACUCGAGAAAGCUCCGGCGGAGAGGGAUGGGCCCGCGGCCUGUUAGCUUGUUGGUGGGGUAACGGCCUACCAAGGCAAUGAUGGGUAGCUGGGUUGAGAGACCGACCAGCCAGAUUGGGACUGAGACACGGCCCAGACUCCUACGGGAGGCAGCAGUGGGGAAUCUUGCACAAUGGGCGAAAGCCUGAUGCAGCGACGCCGCGUGCGGGAUGAAGGCCUUCGGGUUGUAAACCGCUUCCAGCAGGGACGAGGCGAAAGUGACGGUACCUGCAGAAGAAGCCCCGGCUAACUACGUG